rnacentral:rRNA from 1 species
UACGUAGGGGGCAAGCGUUGUCCGGAAUCAUUGGGCGUAAAGAGCGUGUAGGCGGUUCGGUAAGUCUGCUGUGAAAGUCCAGGGCUCAACCCUGGGAUGCCGGUGGAUACUGUCGAACUUGAGUCCGGAAGAGGCGGGUGGAACUCCUGGUGUAGCGGUGAAAUGCGCAGAUAUCAGGAAGAACACCAAUGGCGAAGGCAGCCCGCUGGGACGUGACUGACGCUGAGACGCGAAAGCGUGGGGAGCAAACAGG